GACAGAGGGGGCAAGCGUUGCUCGGAAUCACUGGGCGUAAAGGGCGCGUAGGCGGGAUGGCAAGUCGGUCGUGAAAUCUCUCGGCUCAACCGAGAAACGUCGGCCGAUACUGCCGUUCUUGAGGGAUGCAGAGGAGACUGGAAUUCCCGGUGUAGCGGUGAAAUGUGUAGAGAUCGGGAGGAACACCGGUGGCGAAGGCGGGUCUCUGGGCCGAAACUGACGCUGAGGAGCGAAAGCGUGGGGAGCAAACAGG
rnacentral:rRNA from 1 species